rnacentral:tRNA from 1 species
AUUUAAAUAGUUUAUAUAAGAACAUGGCAUUGAAGAUGCUAAAGAACUUUUAGUUUUAAGUA